rnacentral:rRNA from 1 species
AUACGGAGGGUCCGAGCGUUAUCCGGAAUCAUUGGGUUUAAAGGGUCCGUAGGCGGGAAUCUAAGUCAGUGGUGAAAUCUUGCAGCUCAACUGUAAAAUUGCCAUUGACACUGGAUUUCUCGAAUUAGUGUGAAGUGGUUAGAAUGUGUAGUGUAGCGGUGAAAUGCAUAGAUAUUACACAGAAUACCAAUUGCGAAGGCAGAUCACUAACACUAUAUUGACGCUAAGGGACGAAAGCGUGGGGAGCGAACAGGAUUAGAUACCCCGGUAGUCC